GUAAAAUGGCUGCCACGUUCACGCCUCGAGUUUUGUCUCGUCGAUGGGGUUUCUUGGACAGCCCCGCACGGGCUUGCCUUGUAUGCAUUUUACAGAGGAGCAGCAGGUCAACCACAGCAUCCAUCAUAAUUACUACAACAACGCCUGCUUCCAUUUCCUCCCCUCACUGUAACGUGAACACCGCAAACUCUUGAGUGAGAUGAGGCUCAUAACAGUUCCUGUAUUUAGAGAGCUCUCAUGCCACCAUGUGGAGAGAGUGCCGCUGUGUACCCAGCAACAAAGCAAGAUCACAAUGUGCCAUGGGAGUCAGGUAGUCAUUUCAUGAGGCUGUGGCUGUGGCUCAGUUGGUAGAGUCGUCGUUCCGGUCGAGGGUUCGAUCCCCUGUAGCCACAUGUCCGAUGUGUCCUUGGGCAAGACCCUAAACCCCGAAUUGCUCCCGCUGCCUGGGCGGCAUUUGAAUGUAUGAAUGGAAUUAGUGACUUCUGAUGGACUCUCUGCAUAUCAGCCUCUACCAUCAGGGUGUGAACGGGUAAGUGUAACCUGCGGUGAGUGUUCUUACUUUGAGUAGUAAGCAGACUAGAAAAGCGCUAUAAGCUCAAGUCCAUUAAUCAUUAACAUCCACAUAGUGUACCAUGCAAUAUUUAGCUGCUUAAUAACCUCUGAUGUUACAAUAUGGACUUGACCCUCUGCACUUUAUUGAACUUGCUACUGAAAUCCCUCGUGUAAUCAUGUGAUGCUUAAAAUGACGUAUUCUAUUUUUUUUAAUGGUUUUGUUUUUAUUUGCUUAAAAUGAAAGUUUUGUUACUGGUAUUGUUUUUUUAUGGUGUACAGUAAGGCAAAUUCCCCUUGGGGCAAUAAAGGGUUUAAUUCAGUCAUUCGAGUCGCACUCUUCUUCAUGCUAUACCUCAUUAUUCAUAUUGUUUACCAUCCUACCUACUGUAUUUCAUAUUGAUUUAUGUUAUAUAAACUAAUUUAACUUUUUAUUUGUACAUUCUUUAACUUCUACAUUGAAUAUUCCAGAUCAAACCGCAUUAAAUACUUCAUUAUUCUGUACUGCUCUACAUGUAUGUUUUAACAGAUCAUCAUCUUAUCUCUCACUUCCUCUUAAUGCACCUUUUAUUAUAAUAAACCUAAUACCUCAUAUCAAACUGUAUGUCAUUCGUCUUCACUGCUGUUUCCACAACUAGCUGCCAAAUAAUCAUACCUGGUCACUUUAAUUUACCAAGGCAAGGCAAGUUUAUUUAUAUAGCACAUUUUAACAACAAGGCAAUUCAAAGUGCUUCACACAAGACAAAAGCAUCAUGACAGAGGAAAGAAAAGAAACAUUAAAAUAGAAAAUUUAAAAAUCAAUGAAAUUAUUAAAUCUAAAUAUUUGUUCAAAUAAAAAUAAUUCAAAUGAAAUUAAUUGAAAUAAAUAAAGUAAAAAUAUUAAAAGAGUUAAAAGUUACAGUGCAGAGUUAAAGUUUAAAAUCAUAUUAAAAUUGUUUAAUGAAAGGCAGCUGUAAACAGGUGUGUCUUCAACCUCAAUUUAAAAGAGCUGAGAGUUUCAGCAGACCUGCAGUUUUCUGGGAGUUUGUUCCAGAUAUAGGGAGCAUAGAAACUGAACGCAUCUUCUCCAUGUUUGGUUCUGACUCUGGGGACAGAGAGCAGACCUGUCCCAGACGACCAGAACGGUCUGGAUAGUUCGUAAUCAGGAGGUCACUAAUGUAUUUUGGCCCUAAACCAUUCAGCGCUUUAUAAACCAGCAGCAGGAUUUUAAAAUCUAUUCUCUGACAGACUGGGAGCCAGUGUGAAGACCUCAGAACUGGGCUGAUGUGAUCCAUUUUCUUGGUCUUGGUGAGGACUCUAGCAGCAGCAUUCUGGAUCAGCUGCAGUUGUCUGACUGAUUUUUUAGGCAGACCUGUAAAGACACUGUUACAGUAAUCAAGACGACUGAAGAUAAAAGCAUGGACAAGUUUUUCCAAGUCCUGCUGGUCCUCCAAGUUUUUCCAAGUCCUCUGAUUCUUGAUAUGUUGUUCAGGUGAUAGUAGGCUGAUUCUGUAAUUGUCUUAAUGUGGCUUUUAGAAUUGAGAUUUCUUUCCUGGUCUGUGGUUUUCAGUCUUACUGACUGAAGCUGCGUGCUGACUCUUAGCCACUCCUCCUUUGCUCCAAAAACAACAACCUCAGUUUUGUCUUUGUUUAGCUGGAGAAAAUUUUUGCACAUCCAAUCAUUGAUUUGUUCUAUGCAUUUACCCAGUGCUUUUAUGGGACCGUGGUCGCCUGGCAACAUUGUAAUAUAUAUUUGUGUGUCAUCUGCAUAGUUAUGAUAACUUGUUUUAUUGUUUUUUAUAAUCUGAGCUAGUGGGAGCAUGUAGAUGUUAAACAGAAUAGGCCCCAGGAUGGAACCUUGGGGAACUCCACAAGUAAUUUCUGUUUGCUCAGAUUUGAAGUUACCUAUAGACACGAAGAAGUCCCUGUCCUUUAAGUAGGAUUCAAACCAGUUUAAUGUUGUGCCAGAAACUCCCACCAAGUUUUCCAGUCGGUCGAAUAAUAUAUUGUGGUCAACUGUGUCGAACGCAGCACUGAGAUCAAGUGAAACUAAGACUGAGGUUCUGCCACUGUCUGUGUUUAAACGGAUGUCAUCAAACACCUUAACCAGGGCUGUCUCAGUGCUGUGAUUUUGUCUAAAACCUGACUGGAAGACAUCGAAACAGUCGCUCAAUGUCAAGAAGUUAUUUAACUGUUGAAAAACAGCUUUUUCUAUUAUUUUACUUAAAAAAGGAAUAUUUGAUAUAGGCCUGUAAUUGUUCAUUAUUGACUUGUCUAGAUUGUUCUUUUUUAAUAGUGGCUUGAUGACUGCUGUCUUCAGGGUCUGUGGGAAGACACCUGAGAGAAGAGACAGGUUU